rnacentral:rRNA from 1 species
UGGGGAAUAUUGGGCAAUGGGCGAAAGCCUGACCCAGCCACGCCGCGUGAGUGAUGAAGGCCUUCGGGUCGUAAAGCUCUGUGGGGAGGGACGAAUAAGCCCGGCAUCAACACCGCCGGGCCCUGACGGUACCUCCUUAGCAAGCACCGGCUAACCCUGUGCCAGCAGCCGCGGUAAUACAGGGGGUGCAAACGUUGCUCGGAAUUAUUGGGCGUAAAGCGCACGUAGGCGGUUCGUUAUGUCGGAUGUGAAAGCCCUUGGCUCAACUGAGGAAGUGCAUCCGAAACUGGCGAGCUAGAGUAUGUAAGAGGGUCGCGGAAUUCCCGGUGUAGAGGUGAAAUUCGUAGAUAUCGGGAGGAACACCGGUGGCGAAGGCGGCGACCUGGGACAAUACUGACGCUGAGGUGCGAAAGCGUGGGGAGCAAACAG